CCUACGGGGGGCAGCAGUGGGGAAUAUUGCACAAUGGGGGAAACCCUGAUGCAGCGACGCCGCGUGAGUGAAGAAGUAAUUCGUUAUGUAAAGCUCUAUCAGCAGGGAAGAAAAUGACGGUACCUGAGUAAGAAGCCCCGGCUAACUACGUGCCAGCAGCCGCGGUAAUACGUAGGGGGCAAGCGUUAUCCGGAUUUACUGGGUGUAAAGGGAGCGUAGACGGGAGUGCAAGUCUGGAGUGAAAGGCGGGGGCUCAACCCCCGGACUGCUCUGGAAACUGUACGGCUGGAGUGCAGGAGAGGUAAGUGGAAUUCCUAGUGUAGCGGUGAAAUGCGUAGAUAUUAGGAAGAACACCAGUGGCGAAGGCAGCUUACUGGACUGUAACUGACGUUGAGGCUCGAAAGCGUGGGGAGCGAACAGGAUUAGAUACCCGAGUAGUC
rnacentral:rRNA from 1 species